rnacentral:rRNA from 1 species
GACGAACGCUGGCGGCGUGCUUAACACAUGCAAGUCGAGCGGUAAGGCCCUUUCGGGGGUACACGAGCGGCGAACGGGUGAGUAACACGUGGGUGACCUGCCUUUAGCUCUGGGAUAAGCCUGGGAAACUGGGUCUAAUACCGGAUAUGACUCCAUGACGCAUGUUGUGGGGUGGAAAGCCUUGUGCGGCUGAGGAUGGGCCCGCGGCCUAUCAGCUUGUUGGUGGGGUGAUGGCCUACCAAGGCGA